UUGGUAAAUUAAUUAAAGUUUCGACGGUUAGAGAUGAGCAUGCGUACCAUUAGUUAGUUGGUGAGGUAACGGCUCACCAAGGCAGCGAUGGUUAGGGGGCCUGAGAGGGUAAUCCCCCACACUGGUACUGAGACACGGACCAGACUCCUACGGGAGGCAGCAGUGAGGAAUAUUGGUCAAUGGGCGCAAGCCUGAACCAGCCGUGCCGCGUGCAGGAUGACUGCCCUAUGGGUUGUAAACUGCUUUUAUACAGGAAGAAACCAGCUUACGUGUAAGCUUUUGACGGUACUGUAUGAAUAAGCAUCGGCUAACUCCGUGCCAGCAGCCGCGGUAAUACGGAGGAUGCAAGCGUUAUCCGGAUUUAUUGGGUUCAAAGGGUGCGUAGGCGGGGCUUUAAGUCAGUGGUGAAAUCUUGCAGCUUAACUGUAAAAUUGCCAUUGAUACUGAAGUUCUUGAAUAUAGUUGAGGUAGGCGGAAUGUGUAAUGUAGCGGUGAAAUGCUUAGAUAUUACACAGAACACCGAUUGCGUAGGCAGCUUACUAAGCUAUUAUUGACGCUGAGGCACGAAAGCGUGGGGAGCGAACAGGAUUAGAUACCCUGGUAGUCCACGCUGUAAACGAUGAUCACUCGUUGUUGGCGAUACACAGUCAGCGACUAAAAAGCAUUAAGUGAUCCACCUGGGGAGUACGAUCGCAAGAUUGAAACUCAAAGGAAUUGACGGGGGCCCGCACAAGCGGUGGAACAUGUGGUUUAAUUCGAUGAUACGCGAGGAACCUUACCUGGGCUUAAAUGCAGGCCGACGAACCGGGAAACUGGUUUUUCUUCGGACGUCUUGCAAGGUGCUGCAUGGUUGUCGUCAGCUCGUGCCGUGAGGUGUCGGGUUAAGUCCCAUAACGAGCGCAACCCUUAUCGUUAGUUACCAGCGAGUCAUGUCGGGGACUCUAACGAAACUGCCGGUGUAAACCGAGAGGAAGGUGGGGAUGACGUCAAAUCAGCACGGCCCUUAUGUCCAGGGCUACACACGUGUUACAAUGGUCAGUACAAAGGGCAGCUACCUGGCAACAGGAUGCAAAUCUCUAAAACUGGUCUUAGUUCGGAUCGGAGUCUGCAACUCGACUUCGUGAAGUUGGAAUCGCUAGUAAUGGCGCAUCAGCAACGGCGUGGUGAAUACGUUCCCGGGCCUUGUACACACCGCCCGUCAAGCCAUGGAAGCUGGGGG
rnacentral:rRNA from 1 species